UACGUAGGGGGCAAGCGUUGUCCGGAAUCAUUGGGCGUAAAGCGCGUGUAGGCGGCCAGAUAAGUCCGUUCUGAAAGCCCGGGGCUCAACCCCGGGAGGCGGAUGGAUACUGUUUGGCUCGAGUCCGGAAGAGGCGAGUGGAAUUCCCGGGUGUAGCGGUGAAAUGCGCAGAUAUCGGGAGGAACACCAAUGGCGAAGGCAGCUCGCUGGGACCGGUACUGACGGCUGAGACGCGAAAGCGUGGGGAGCAAACAGGGAU
rnacentral:rRNA from 1 species